UACGUAGGGUGCAAGCGUUGUCCGGAAUUAUUGGGCGUAAAGAGCUCGUAGGCGGUUCGUCGCGUCGGCUGUGAAAUCCCGAGGCUCAACCUCGGGCCUGCAGUCGAUACGGGCAGACUAGAGUUCGGUAGGGGAGACUGGAAUUCCUGGUGUAGCGGUGAAAUGCGCAGAUAUCAGGAGGAACACCGGUGGCGAAGGCGGGUCUCUGGGCCGAAACUGACGCUGAGGAGCGAAAGCGUGGGGAGCGAACAGG
rnacentral:rRNA from 1 species